ACCUGGAUAGCUCAGUUGGUUAGAGCAUGGUGCUCACAAUGCAAAGGUUGCUGGUUCGAUCCUGGUACGGGACA
rnacentral:tRNA from 1 species